AUGCAAGUGGCGGCACUCGCCUCUCCAUCUGAAAGCCAUGGGAUGGGAGAGGGUCCCCUUGAAUGGCUAUCCCCAUCCCCAUCCCCAUGCCCACCCUCAUCCUCAUCCUCAUCCCCAACCCCAUCCCCAUCCCCAUCCCCGUCCCUGUCCCCGUCCCCAACCCCAUUCUCCAUCCCCGUCCCCAGCCAGGCGAGCCCCACAGGACAUUCCUCAUCGCCCUUCAGCAACAACCCCGCCGUCUUCCGCUCCCACCCGACCCCUGUUAGGAAAUUAGGGCGUCCUCCCCCUCCCUGCCCUUCCCCUGCCCUUCCCCUGCUCUUUCCCCUUGCGCCAGCAUCCAGAACCCCCGACCCCAAAACCAAGCCGGAAAAACAAGCGGAGCUGCGAGCCCUGCCCCCGGUUCCGCUGCAAAGCCGCAGCACGGAGCCCCCCAAAGCCCCCCCAAAGGCUGAACCCGUCCCUUCCCCGGGUCCCCCCCGCCCCGGUCCUCACCGUCCCCCGCUGCGCUCCCGCUGCUCGCCCCGGCCCCGCUGCGCGAAGGGGCAGCUCCGGGCGGCUGAGUCACGGGCAGGCGGCUCCUCCUCUGCCCCGGCCCCUUUCCCUGCCCCUUUGCCAGCCCCUGCCCCUUUCCCUGCCCCUUUUUCCCUGCCCCUUUCCCUGCCCCUUUCCCUUUCCCCGCCCGCCCACUGCUGCUCCCCGCCUCCGCCCCCCCACACCUUGUGCCCUUCCUGCCUGCAGCCCGCUGCUCUCCUCCUCUUCCUCCUGCUUCUCCUCCUCCUUCUGCUCCUCCUCUUUCUCCUCCUCCUCCUCCUCCUUCUCCGGCCCGCCUCCACCCCAUCCGUUUCCCACCCCAUCCUGCCUAAUUCCCUCCUCCAGCCUUCCCAGUUCCCUUCUGCAGCCUGCCUGCAGCCUGUUUUCCUGCCUCCAGCCCGUUUGCUUCCCUCCUCUGUCCUGCUUCCAUCCGGGCUGCUUCCCUUCUCCAACCUGUGUGAUUCCUUCCUCCAGCCUGCCUGCUUUCUGCCUCCAUCCCACUGCUUCCUUCCUCCUCCCUGCCCACCUCCAUCCCACCUCCAUCCCACCUCCAUCUCACCUCCAUGCCAUGGCCAUCCCACCUCCAUCCCACCUCCUUCCCAUCUCCUUCCCAUCUCCUUCUCACCACCACCUCACCUCCACCCCAUCUCCAUCCCACCUCCACCCCCCGCCCAUCCCACCCCCAUCCUGCCACCAUCCCCUGCAGUUUUCCCCCAGAAGCCCAGCAAAUCCGCACCGUGCCAAUUUACUUCUUCUCCACUUGACAUUUUGGCCAGCUCUCACAAGAACCGUGAACACCGCAGGUCAUUCUAA
rnacentral:lncRNA from 1 species